UACGUAGGGUGCGAGCGUUAAUCGGAAUUAUUGGGCGUAAAGAGCGCGCAGGUGGUUGAUUAAGUCUGAUGUGAAAGCCCACGGCUUAACCGUGGAGGGUCAUUGGAAACUGGUCGACUUGAGUGCAGAAGAGGGAAGUGGAAUUCCAUGUGUAGCGGUGAAAUGCGUAGAGAUAUGGAGGAACACCAGUGGCGAAGGCAGCUUGCUGGGACGGUACUGACGCUGAGGCGCGAAAGCGUGGGGAGCAAACAGG
rnacentral:rRNA from 1 species